rnacentral:ncRNA from 1 species
CCGAAAGGGUUAGUGGUGUUCUUCGAUAAAACUGGCUAGUUGUUCUUUGGAACAGCAACACGCUCAAACUGCGGGAAACUCCUAAAGCUUUCACUACCAAGUUGCGUUCGAAAGAGCGCGAUGGCCGAGCUAAUAGCCCUGGGUACGGUAAAAACGUGAAAGAUGCGACAAUGGACGAUCCGCAGCCAAGCUCCUACGGCGCAAGCUAUGGAGAAGGUUCAGAGACUAGACGGGUGUGGGUGUUCAUUUCCGUUAUGUAAACCGUCCUGUAGUUCUAGUAGUGGCAAUAUGCAAUGAGGACUGUUGUUGGAUCCAUUUUAGUCGCUCGUUGCAGAUGCUUUUUGCCACUUUUACUGGAAUAGCAGAAUACUUGUCCAUGAUAAGUAUAGGUUUGGGAAGAAUGCUUAAGAUGUAGUCCGAUGCUUCGCGGAAACGCGUAG